AGCGAACGCUGGCGGCAGGCCUAACACAUGCAAGUCGAACGAUCCUUCGGGAUAGUGGCGGACGGGUGAGUAACACGUGGGAACGUGCCCUUUGGUUCGGAACAACUCAGGGAAACUUGAGCUAAUACCGAAUGUGCCCUUCGGGGGAAACAUUUAUCGCCAUUGGAGCGGCCCGCGUCUGAUUAGCUUGUUGGUGAGGUAACGGCUCACCAAGGCGACGAUCAGUAGCUGGUCUGAGAGGAUGAUCAGCCACACUGGGACUGAGACACGGCCCAGACUCCUACGGGAGGCAGCAGUGGGGAAUCUUGCGCAAUGGGCGAAAGCCUGACGCAGCCAUGCCGCGUGAAUGAUGAAGGUCUUAGGAUUGUAAAAUUCUUUCCCCGGGGACGAUAAUGACGGUACCCGGAGAAGAAGCUCCGGCUAACUUCGUGCCAGCCGCCGCCGUAACAC
rnacentral:rRNA from 1 species